AUUGAACGCUGGCGGCGUGCUUAACACAUGCAAGUCGAUCGGUAACGCGGGGGCAACCCUGGCGACGAGAGGCGGACGGGUGAGGAACGCUUGGGAAUCUGCCUAUCAGCGGGGGACAACACGGGGAAACUCGUGCUAAUACCGCAUACGCUCUACGGAGGAAAGCCGGGGACCGCAAGGCCUGGCACUGAUGGAUGAGCCCAAGUCGGAUUAGCUAGUUGGCGGGGUAACGGCCCACCAAGGCGACGAUCCGUAGCUGGUCUGAGAGGACGAUCAGCCACACUGGGACUGAGACACGGCCCAGACUCCUACGGGAGGCAG
rnacentral:rRNA from 1 species